rnacentral:rRNA from 1 species
GACGAACGCUGGCGGUGUGCUUAACACAUGCAAGUCGAACGGUAAGGCCCUUUCGGGGGUACACGAGUGGCGAACGGGGGAGUAACACGUGAGUAACCUGCCCUCAUCUCUGGGAUAACAGUCGGAAACGGUUGCUAAUACUGGAUAUGAGCCUGCAAGGCAUCUUGUGGGUUGGAAAGAUUUUUUUGGUUGGGGAGGGACUCGCGGCCGAUCAGCUUGUUGGUGAGGUAGUGGGUCACCAAGGACUCGGGGGGUAGUCGGCCUGAGGGGGCGACCGGCCACAUUGGGACUGAGAGACGGCACAAGCUCCUACGGGAGGCAGCAGUGGGGAAUAUUGCACAAUGGACGGAAGGCUGGUGCAGCAACGCCGCGGGUGGGAUGACGGCCUUCGGGUUGUAAACCGCUUUCAAUUGUGACGAAGCUUUUUGUGACGGUAGCAGUAGAAGAAGCACCGGCUAACUACGUG